AUACGGAGGGUGCAAGCGUUAUUCGGAAUCACUGGGCGUAAAGGACGCGUAGGCGGGUGGCAAGUCAGAUGUGAAAUCCUACAGCUUAACUGUAGAACUGCAUUUGAAACUGCUAACCUAGAGUAUGGGAGGGGGAGAUGGAAUUAGUGGUGUAGGGGUAAAAUCCGUAGAUAUCACUAGGAAUACCGAAAGCGAAGGCGAUCUCCUGGAACAUAACUGACGCUAAGGCGUGAAAGCGUGGGGAGCAAACAGGAUUAGAAACCCUAGUAGUCC
rnacentral:rRNA from 1 species